rnacentral:piRNA from 1 species
UUCAUUGUUAAGUAUCAAAGGCCCCUUUGG